AAAAGGAAAAGCUGUCAAGCGAAACCCUCGCACCGCACGUCCUCCACCUCCCUUCGCCUCCAGCGCCCCCUCCUCCCUCUCCAGCGCCGCCACAGCCGCCUGGGCGACGCUCCCACCCACCACCCAUGGUUGAGGUCGGCGAAGCGGCCCAUCGCGCGGCGCCUGGGGACGCUGCCUCCCUCCGCCGCCGCCAAAACCGGAUGGCGUGCUGUCCGGCGAGGGGCCCGACCUAUCGUCUUCGUCGCGCGUCCUGGGCUGACGGAGGGGCAGACGCCGAUGCCCACCAGCGGCGGCAGGCUCGAUCUGGAUAUUCAUCCUCGUGCCCAGUCGCCGCUCCUCGGCAUAUUCCUCUCCCCGCACCGCCGUUCGCUCUAUCGCGUCACCCGCACUGCCGCUCACCUCCGCCUCGUCAGCGCCUUCUGCUGCUACUGCCGCCGGCGCGUCUCCUAGCUCUUGAACGACCAAACCAUGCAUCGCUACUCCAUGGGAUUCUAAUUUGCCUUUGCAUGCUUGCAAGUUUGAUUGCUGGACCAGCUGCUGGACGUGGAGCACUGGAUCCGGCAGGCGGUGGUGCUCUGGGGCGUCGCCCCCCUCGUCGGCGCCUUCUCGCCGUGUACACUCACAAUUAUUGUACAGAUUGAUGCUACGGCUGUACUGCAGGUAUACACACAUUUCUGAAUUUAGUCAACACUUAUAACAAAAUGUUCACCACAGAAUAAUCCAAUUUAUGCACUGCUUGUGUUACAUUGAGAAAUCAAGAAUGUGGCAGGUUAAAUUUUUCAAAGCCAAUUACUCCUAUGGUAAUUUAGAAAUUAUGUGCUUGUGAAUGAUGUUCCUUGAAUGACCAUAAAAGACGUUUGGUAGCUAAUUUCUAAUUUAUAAAUGAGGCUAAGUAUGUUAAAUAAAUUCAGCUUCUUCUUAGUCCUUGUAGUAUCCCUAUUGAUAUUAUUCCAAAUAAAUUCAAAUAAAUCCAAAGCCCUGGAGUACUUGAUCGCGUCAAAUCAUGGACAUCGCUCGUUGGCAUGCGGCACAGGUGGGCAGGGGCACCUUCGGCGGCGUAGAUGGGCCUUGCCCGCGCGACAGUUGAUGAGGCUGAGUGCCGUUGGUGGCUGGGGCCUAGGCUGCUGCCGCGAGCGACGGGGGACGGAGGAAGAAGGAAAGGGGGUAAUUAGCGUGAGGUUUACAGAGGACUCUUUUUUUGUAAAAAUGCCAAUGGACUAUGCUGGCGACAUUAUUUUUCGGACGGAGGGAGUACUACUUUGGUUGCAAAACUAGUAGACGACUAUUCAUAUUGUGCUGCCCUGCAAGUGAGGUUCCUUGCCCAUUAAGUAAUUUACUCUUUGGCUGCAUGUUUGGGUGUGUAGGGUUCUCACUGUUUGAACAACUUUCAAUAUUCUAAUUCAGCCGCGUGUACAGGUUUAAGAGUCAUCCUUUUAUAUGAAAAGGAAAAACACCUUUUGGUUUAACAAAAAACUUGUAUAUAUUUAGUUAGAGGCCUACUACAUUGUAGGAAGAGCUGGGCUAAUUAUGCACUAUUGUCAUUUAUUUCGUAUAUGUUAGAUUUUCUUACACAUUACCCUUAUUUUAACUAAUGAGCUUAUCCUGGCUGCCUGCCUGGCUGGUAAAGUUUCCAAACAAUAUAUCAAGAUCGUUUUUCUAUUUUUUUGGCCCCAAGACGUUACAGUCCACUUGCUAGAUAUGCACAUUCCUUCUUUAUCAAUCAAGCUUGAUUAUUAUCCAUGUUCUUUGCUUUGGUGGAUUCUUCUAUGCUUGCGUUCUUAGCCUUUCUGUUUUGGUGGAAUCUUCUAUGCUACUACCAAAGCGGCAUGUAAUAGGAUCAACAUGAUUUCUUUGCAUAUCUGCUCGUAAAAGUGGCACUAUGUCUAAGGUCAAUGAAUCAUCCAUCUCAGUUGUUCAAAUAUUCUUAGAUGAUACGUCAAUGAUUUAUGUGGAAGAUGUAAAUUUGUCUUGAAUUGAUGGCUUUCCAGCAAAAAUAGAUGGCAGACAAUAAUGGGCACUAUUUGAGAGCCAUGCAAUUCUGUCGUAUUCUUGGUUAACUCCAGUCUUGGUUGUCAAUGCAUUGUUGUAAUCAUAUUAUCAUAAUCUGAUUGUUAUUUCUAAUACGACUAAUCUUUCUAGGCUUAUGCUGAUUGCAGUCCUCUUGUGUUUGCAUUCCGUCUUACUAGAGUUCCAGUAAUAGACACAUUAUGGAAGUGGUGAGGGUCGAUGACUUGAUUUGCAUCAGUGAGAUGAAGAUAGCUGCCAUUGUAAAUGCCACUGUGCCAUAAAGCCAAGGAUUAAAGUUGUCUGGAGUGAACCGUGUCUCUGUGAGAGGAUCAUAACAAGAGGUAACACACUGCCCUUGCAUAAUAAUGUAGUAGUAUAUGGAGCAUAACAAACUGUGGUUGUGAUCAGACCUUGUAAAUUUUACCUUUCCUCCAAGAUCAUCCUCUCCUAAUAUGCCAUGUGUCGACAGUAGCAGGAUCAGGCUAAGCUUGCCCAUGUAAGUGUAGCUCCUCUAAUCUUAUUACUAUGUUCCGAUGAUCUAGCUUAUUUGUUGCAUCUUCAUCUUUUCACAUGGGAUUGCCUUGUGCUUAAUUUGGUCUGAUCAUUUGCUUAAAAGAUACAAGACUUGUUUCUUAGUGCUCCUUCCCCGUGUUCUCAUUGCUUUUCAGUUUGUCAAUUUGAAUAGGAUCAGUGACGUUUUGUGAAUCAAAAUUUGCCUAGGAAUCUGCAGUGUUCUCUUCCUAUCGGUACAAGAAAACCCUGCAUUUAGAAAAAAAUAUACCACCUCAUAUUUGAGGUAGGUAGCAAUUCAAAAACUGACUUCGUAGCUGAAACAAUGAAAUAGGACUCAGUGAACAACUAGAGAUAACUCAUGUUUCCAUGAAACUACCAACAAAGUGCAAAACAAAUUGCUAUCUUUAGCUACCAAGAAACCUUCUGUAUGCUUUCAGUAUCUACAAAUCUUUCUUCAUUGUCGGCUAGAUAGUUUCAUACUUAUUUUCUUCUGUAAUUAUCUUUUCAGGUCAAUUCACACAUGAUAUAACUAAUCUGCUGUAUGGCGAAUUAAUUUAGCUCUGUUUCGGUGGCCAACUGCUGAUAUCUUAUUUGUGGCAGACUUUCCCUUUCGGUUAAGUGAUAUACCCAAUAGCUGUAAAGAAAUAAAGUUGCAGUGUUGUGAUAUAUCAUUUUAUUUUUGAUUCUUUGCCUUGUGGUGUUCAGUACUUGUGGUUAGUUGAUGUUUGUUUUCUGAUUCUAUUGGUUUCUGUUAGUAGGGUUAUCUGACAUGGUUUGCAAUGUUAGUGCUGGUCUCAAGGUUUUAUAGAAGCAUUUGUGUGUUCUCAAGCUUAGGAGUUACAAGGAGAAAUGGCACUAUGGUCUUGAACUUACACUGAUCUGCUGCUAAAGAAUGAUCCUUAGCUUAGUUACUUAGCUUGAUAUCUUUUUUCGAGGAUAGGUUUGGAGUUGUAUCCACAUCUGUCUAGGUUGGUACUUCGACCAGAAUUCUCGCAUGGCAUUAUAUGCCAAGCUCAGUUGUUGUACUUCAUCUGAUGCAUGCUGAAUGCAAACAAAUGUAUUCUUUUUCUUAUAAUAUGUGAACCAUGUACUGCAUCAACACUCGAUGUAGAUUGUGCUUUCAAUUGGCCGAGCACAAGCACGGUUGACAAAAAAUAUUCAUGUGCUACCCAGAAUAAGAAAAAAAGGGUGAAAUAGUCGCCUCCUACCUGGCAAAGCACAACCACCUCUCAGGAGGCGCCACAAGGGGGCGCCCCAACAACUAUUUAUAUUAUUCUGUGGCUCACAUAUUAUAGUCGAGAUAUUAGAUAUAGUGGCUGUCAGAGAUUUAACCGAAAGCCUUGAGACAAGUGCUGCCACAUUGCUACAAAUAUUGGUACAGAGGUGGUACAGUGAUGCGUGUAUUAAUGUAGUGGUUGUUCAACUAAAUACUAUUGGUACAGAGUAAUAUUACUUCUCUUUUCAACAUGUCUAAUAUGUAUAUAUAUUAAUCGAGCUAUUCAACUAUAGGUAGUAGGCAUAGAAAAAAGUAGGUGCAUAUGUAGAAAAGAAACCGUGGGGCAACAAAGUGUGGCGCUUGCAUAGCUUCGUAAGCUUGGAGAGAGAGAUAG
rnacentral:rRNA from 1 species